UACGAAGGGUGCAAGCGUUACUCGGAAUUACUGGGCGUAAAGCGUGCGUAGGUGGUUUGUUAAGUCUGAUGUGAAAGCCCUGGGCUCAACCUGGGAAUUGCAUUGGAUACUGGCAGGCUAGAGUGCGGUAGAGGGUAGUGGAAUUCCCGGUGUAGCAGUGAAAUGCGUAGAGAUCGGGAGGAACACCAGUGGCGAAGGCGACUACCUGGACCAGCACUGACACUGAGGCACGAAAGCGUGGGGAUCAAACAGG
rnacentral:rRNA from 1 species